rnacentral:lncRNA from 1 species
GGGAAUUUCCACUUCAAAUGGUAGGUUGACAUGAUGGCUCGGAGAACAUUGAGGCCAGGUCGGCCGAGGAUUGUGUUGUAGACUGACGGCGCCUUCACCACCAGAAAAUUCACCAAAGCCCUGGUUUGCCUUGGAUAUCGACCUGCAGCUACAGUCAAAGUUACCACUCCCUCCAUCGGGACAGCGUCGCCGGUAAACCCUACUAGAGGGGAGCUAAUCGGCCCCAAAUGGCCGUUAAGGGUGG